UACAGAGGGGUGCGAGCGUUUGUCCGGAAUCACUGGGCGUAAAGGGGCGCGUAGGUGGCGAGCCAAGUCCAUGGUGAAAGCUCGAUGCUCAACAUCGAGUCGGCCACGGAUACUGGUUCGCUUGAGCACUGUAGAGGCUAAUGGAAUUCCGGGUGUAGCGGUGGAAUGCGUAGAGAUCCGGAAGAACACCGGUGGCGAAGGCGGUUAGCUGGGCAGUUGCUGACACUGA
rnacentral:rRNA from 1 species